CUUCGUAGGUAAUAAAUAGUAUUCUCAUCUGAUAAGACAUUGAAACUUUUCAUGUAACCAAUUUGUUCAAAAUGAAGUUCUAUAUUGACCACAAUUUAUUUUCAGGAACUAUACAAUUUCGAUACGGCUUAUAACCAAGAACUGGGGCGUGCCACACAUUGAGAUUACAAGUGUCGGCAGAGAGUUCCUACCUUCCCGGGUCGAGCAUUAUUACGGCAUCUUGCACGCAAAUAGCCAUUGCCUCAUUACCGGGCAGUACCCUAAGCUGGGAGAAACGACCGACUGCACUUACUGGGUCACAGAGCAUGGCGCUAAAAAAAGGCAUCCAGAUUGUGAUUACAUUUUUAUGAACUACUGCAAAUCACCGCAACUUAUAAACUCGACAACUAUACGUGAAUGCUUGUAACGCUGUACUGCACCAAUAAAAUGAUUUUUG